CAUGUUAUUACAUACAAGGUGCAUAGAUCAACACUAGAUAUAGCUGAGAUUAAUUAGAUCCCUCCUUGGAACUAAGAUGGUUGCUAGGCAAGUAGCAGCUAGCUAGCGGAUCCAAUUAUGUUUCUUGCCUGCUUCACAAGAGGUAGGUAUAUAUAGACAAGGUGCAUAAACCUGCUGCAGCAAACCUCUAUGGAAAUCAAACACGAACUCUAUAGACAAAUUGGUUUCCACAUGGAGUCACUGGUGAGAUCGAUGAUUGAGCAAAAAGGGUCGAUAGAUUAUUCACUAUUUGGCUUAUUUGCGCUAUUGCUAGCUUUCGGGUAAAAAUAGUCAACCUUCUUGUUGCUUGCGAGCGAGGUAUACGUCUCACGAGGAUUGGUCAAUGAUCAUUAAUACAGCGAGGAUGCAUGGUUAAUUCAUAUAUACUUGAUCAGGUGCAAGUAUAUAUAUAUAAAUAUUGGAAGUUUCUGAUUCUAAUCAACUAGGUUUCCAAUUCCAACGCUUGGCCGGGGUACCCUUAAUUUCUGUCAUGAUUCACAGCAACUGCUUUAAGAUAUUGCCUGGAAAUGUUCAAAUAUAAUUGGAGUAUUUUCAUGCUGUUUCUCUGCUGGUUAUUAGGGGAACAAGAUGGCUCCAGGGUGUUAAGCGAUCUACCGAAUCAUUGGGAUGCAAAAAUGAAUCUGUAUGGGAGCAUUACGCCUUUGAGGGAAGGACUCGCGUGAGCAGUGCUGAACAAAGUGGAAGCAAGAAUAUAUGCUUGAGUAACGCAAAUGUUGGUGAGAAUCCAAUUCCUCGAAAGCCCAAGGGUUCCUCCACAAGAUUUGUCCACAAAAGGCGAGUCAGGGCUUAAGAAGUUGAAGGGCAUAGUCAAUGGACAACAAGUGAAUAUUCUUGUACUACCCUUUGUUGGUCCCAAAGGAUGGAGGAGGCUAAGUUAGCCGAAAGAUGAUUAUUGAUUCAAGGACGCAAGAUGCCCUUGCCUUUUCAGGGUAAUAAGGGGUAAAGAAAAUGCCUCAAGCCAAAGUUCGAGUACCAAGUGCUACAACGCUGAAGUAAUCCAUGGAAUACUCCCAGGAAAAAAUCGAAUGACCUUUAAUGCUAUAUACUCCUAUGAUAAUACAAAUUCUACUAAGUCAAGGUUUUUUGACAUAAAAUAUUUGAUUGUGUAAGAAAGAACUUAGGAAAACAAUAUCUAUAUAUAAAAGAUAUAGGAACAAACAUAUAUGUUAGCCGACUCACUAACUAAGUGUUUAUCACUUAAGAUAUUCAAUGAGUAUGCUUCUCAUAUGAGUGUUUUCUAUAAGGUUGUCUUAGUUUAGUGAGAGUCUUACUUUAUAUUUCAUGUUUAGUACAAACUAUGUGCUAUUUUUUAAUUGCUUGCAAAAAUAAAGAA